AUUUUGCCAAACGGCGUUAGCGAUGGAAAUCGGAUUAAUAUUUCCGAGCCGGACAUAGUUUAUCUCUUUCGUGACGCUCUUAAUAUCGAUCGCAUCUUAUUGAAUUGAGAGGUAAAAUUAAAUUUUUACCGAGCUCGUUAAAAUGGAGCCAAGAAAAGCGUUAGAGGAAUUGCUUCGUCCGUCCGUACCGCAAACCGACACAGGUGGGUAAGUUCAGUACACUAAGGCGUAAGAGUGAACCCUUGUUAAGGAACUCUGCAAUCUAGCCCCGUAACUUUGGAAAAAGGGGUGCCUGCAAAAAACAGGUCGCAGCUAAGAAGAUCAACCGACUGUUUAUCAAAAACACAGCAUUGUGCAAAGACGAAAGUCUAUGUAUACGAUGUGACACGUGACCAAUGCGGAAAGAUUAAGGUAAGGUGUUAGCUGUAAAGCAAAGCUCUGAACCUAAGUCCCCGUGAAUGUCGGCCGUAACGAUAACGGUCCUAAGGUAGCGAAAUUCCUUGUCGGGUAAGUUCCGACCUGCACGAAUCGUGUAACGAGUUGAUCGCUGUCUCAACAAGGUGCUCUGUGAAUUUGUAGUGGCGGUGCAGAUGCCGCCUACCUGCGGAAGGACGGAAAGACCCUAUGCACCUUAACUGUACGCUGUCACUGGCUCCCUGAUUUCAAUGCUCAGAGUAAGUGGUAGACUUUGAUCUUCAUCUUUCGGGACGAAGUGAGUCGCAAAUGAGACACCACCCUUUGGUAUUGGGGUGCCUAAUUGCUAUUGUAGUACAAUACUGAGACAAUGUCAGCCGGUCAGUUUUACUGGGGCGGUAUCCUCCCAAAAUGUAACGGAGGAGCGCGAAAGUGUGCUCAGCGCGGUUGGCAACCGCGUGACGAGUGUAUAGGCAUAAGCACGCUUAACUGAAAGGCUUACAAGCCGAUCAGAUACGAAAGUAGGCCUAAGUGAUCCGGCGGUUUAAUAUGGAAUUGCCGUCGCUUAACGGACAAAAGGUACGCUAGGGAUAACAGGCUGAUUUGACCCAAGAGUUCAUAUCGACGGUUAAGUUUGGCACCUCGAUGUCGGCUCAUCGCAUCCUGGGGCUGGAGAAGGUCCCAAGGGUCCGGCCGUUCGCCGGUUAAAGCGGUACGCGAGCUGGGUUCAGAACGUCGCGAGACAGUUCGGUCCUCUAUCCUCCGUAGGCGUUAGAAAAUUGAAGGGUUUACUUCCUAGUACGAGAGGACCGGAAGUAACGCGCCUCUGGUGCUCCAGUUGUUACAUCAGUAGCAUUGCUGGGCAGCUAUGCGCGGAAAGGAUAAGCGCUGAAAGCAUCUAAGCGCCAAGCCCCUCCUGAGAUUAAUUUUCUUCGAAGAUCGUGGAAGACUACCACGCCGAUAGGGUGCGGGUGUAAGCAAGGUAACUUGAUCAGCCUAGUGCUACUAAUCAUCUG
rnacentral:rRNA from 1 species